GAUGAGUUUGAAACAGGACUUGAUGCUGGCUUAUUCCAAAGCAUGUGCUCAGUUCUACUCAUUCCACUUAACACCUGUGCAUUUUCAAAGUUGUAGUCCUCCGUAAUGGGAGUCGUGUCUUGUAAAUGAGAUGCUGGGAUUACGCUUUGCCCUUUAUCACAAACAUUAUCAUUGUCUUGUAGAAUGUUAAUAGCCUAAGGGCUUAAUUUAAUA
rnacentral:misc_RNA from 1 species